AGAGUUUGAUCAUGGCUCAGGAUGAACGCUAGCGGCAGGCCUAAUACAUGCAAGUCGAACGGUAAGUAGUGUAGCAAUACAUUGCCUAGAGUGACGUAGGGGUGCGUAACACGUAUGCAAUCUGCCCUGUACAGGUGAAUAGCUCGGGGAAACUCGAAUUAACACACCGUAAUAUCACUGAUCAGGCAUCUGAUUGUGAUUAAAACUGAGGUGGUACAGGAUGAGCAUGCGCAUGAUUAGUUAGUUGGCGGGGUAACGGCCCACCAAGACGAUGAUCAUUAGGGGAACUGAGAGGUUGAUCCCCCACACUGGCACUGAGAUACGGGCCACACUCCUACGGGAGGCAGCAGUAGGGAAUAUUGGACAAUGGGUGCAAGCCUGAUCCAGCCAUGCCGCGUGCAAGAAGAAGGCCUUCUGGGUUGUAAACUGCUUUUGCCAGGGGAUAAAAAGCCCUUGCGAGGGAAAUUGAAGGUACCUGGUGAAUAAGCCACGGCUAACUACGUGCCAGCAGCCGCGGUAAUACGUAGGUGGCAAGCGUUGUCCGGAUUUAUUGGGUUUAAAGGGUGCGUAGGCGGUUCUAUAAGUCAGUGGUGAAAUCCGGCAGCUCACCUGUCGAUGUGCCAUUGAUACUGCAGAACUUGAGUACAGACGAGGUAGGCGGAAUUGACGGUGGUAGCCGGUGAAAUGCUUAAAAUAUCGUCAAGAACACCGAUUAGCGAGGCAGCUUACUAGACUGUAACUGACGCUGAUGCACGAAGGUGGGGGGGGGAUCAAACCAGGAUUAAAAUCCCGCUGGUAGUCCACACUGUAAACGAUGAUUACCUCGAUGGUGGACGAUACACAGCCAGCGUCUAGCGAAAGCGAUAGUCAUCGAGCGUGGGAGUAGUACGGCAGCACGAUCAACUCAAGAAUUGACGUGCUCGACAAGCGGUGAAACCAUGUAAUUCAUUCGAAAUGAAAUGCCCGGAGAGGCAAAC
rnacentral:rRNA from 1 species